GAGAGGUAAAGGAAGAAAAGCUAACCCCUUUCCUAAGAAUACAUACUUUUUCCAGGGGAGGUCCAGACCAUGUGGCAAGAACCUCUAAAUUUUUUACCAAAUGGAGGAAGCACUACAAGAUGCCCCAACCCUGAAAAGAAGAACAAACCAAAACCAAAACCAUAAAAACUACCAAAACCAAACAAUAGAAAUUCCUUUCUGUGUGCCUCUAAGCACACAAGGAAGAUACUGCCUUUGGGAAAGAGGGGAUUGCAAACUUCGGUUCAAACAACCCAUCCUAUUCGCCAAAAUAUAUGGCAAACCUCCUUCCAGCGCUGAAAUCUGUAUGGUUGCAGGGAGGAAGGGUGGUGGGGGGAAGGCAGAGUCCUUGAUCCCCAAACAGAUGUCCAGGGAGGAGAGGCCAGAGAGCCUCCUCUGCGCAGUGAUUUAUUUUAUUUUUUAGAUCUAUAUGCUUUGGCCACAUUUAUUUAUUUCCAAAGGGCUAUUUUUGGUGUCUGCCCUGGCUCCUUUGUAGCAAAGCCCCCUUUUCUAGAAUUUCCUCUCCUUUAUUAGAGUUACAGCUCAGCUUUGUGCAGCCCCGGGGGAGCCGGCCAGCCGCUGGCAAUUUCUCUCAGACACCCAAUUACCCCCUGACGUCAGUACCUCCUCGCCCCGCUCCCCUGGGUGCCUGCGUUUUUUCCUUUGUAACACUAAUAGCUGACUAGCUAAGUGCCUGUCGGUUCCUUGGCAGAGGAGUUGAUUGUGUUUUCGGCUGGAUACUAAAUCCAAAAACUAUGUAAAAAUGUCAAUAGAAGGCUGGAGUUUUAAUGAUGCCGGCGGCGAGGCUGGGCGGCGCGGCCCGCACCUUGGCUGCGGGGCUGGGGUACCCUGGCUGGUAAUGAACUCCCAGAGGAUUCUGGGAGCAGGGCGGCUGUGUUCCCAGCCGGCUUCCUGGGGAAUGUGGAGCCGGCGCCGGGCCCGCCGCUUGCCAGGCCGAGGUACUGCUUUCAGCCAGCCUUUUGUUGUGCACACGCUGGGACACACCUGCUUUCAAGAGACACGCGUGAACGUACAACUCCGGCACUCACACCCACUCCGCUGCCUGGCCCCAGUUUGCUGGUUCCUAAUCGGGUCCCGCUGUGCCCCAGGGAGCUCCUGUGUUGGCUCCAGGAUCUUCAGCAAAUAAAACACUCCAAAAAAUUUCCCUGGAGUCUUCUGAAAUUAAAAUCAGUGCGGAGUAAAACUGUGUGUCAGUCCAGUGUGCGAGGUGCAGGCCUCCAAAUAGCUGGAAAUUGUGUAAGGGAAGCAAUCAGAAGCAGCCUUCCAGGUGAUGCUACCUGGUGCUUGGCAUAUAUGCAAGGGUCCUACCUAGUAGGUAAUUAUUAUUGAGUAAAGGAAUCUGUAAGGUGAUGCCAUAAGCUACAGGGACUUUUGUCCCUUUCCCACAUCUUUUCUGGCCUUUCCUCUUUC